GCCCGGGUGGCGAAAUCGGUAGACGCAAGGGACUUAAAAUCCCUUUUCAGCAAUGAAGUGCGGGUUCGAGUCCCGCCCCGGGCACCA
rnacentral:tRNA from 2 species